rnacentral:rRNA from 1 species
UUGGAGGGCAAGUCUGGUGCCAGCAGCCGCGGUAAUUCCAGCUCCAAUAGCGUAUAUUAAAGUUGUUGCAGUUAAAAAGCUCGUAGUUGAAUUUCGGGGUCAGUAGAUUGGUCAUGCCACCGGUAUGUACUGGUCUCACUGAUUCCUCCUUCCUGAUGAGCCGUAAUGCCAUUAAUUUGGUGUUGCGAGGAAUCUGGACUGUUACUUUGAAAAAAUUAGAGUGUUUAAAGCAGGCUAACGCUUGAAUACAUUAGCAUGGAAUAAUGAAAUAGGACGUUCGAUCUUAUUUUGUUGGUUUCUAAGAUUGACGUAAUGAUUAAUAGGGAUAGUUGGGGGCAUUAGUAUUCAAUUGUCAGAGGUGAAAUUCUUGGAUUUAUUGAAGACUAACUACUGCGAAAGCAUUUGCCAAGGAUGUUUUCAUUAAUCAAGAACGAAAGUUAGGGGAUCGAAGACGAUCAGAUACCGUCGUAGUCUUAACCAUAAACUAUGCCGACUAGGGAUCGGAUGAUGUUAAUUUUUUAAUGACUCAUUCGGCGCCUUACGGGAAAC